rnacentral:ncRNA from 1 species
GAAAGGAUUUUAACUUUAUUUAAUCCCCUGCCUGUACCUUUAAAGUACAAUUCCGGCGUAGCUCAGUGGUAGAGCGACUCCCUGUGAUAACGCAGCUUCCUCUGGCAACAGAGGUUGUAAACGAGGUGAAUUCGGGGAAGCCCCAACUUGCAUCAUGCAGGUGGGUAAUCCCGAGCCAAGCUUCUCGUGCAAAUGAGAGGAAGGCGUAGAGACUAUCCCGAAAGGGAGUAGUUGGUCUUUCAAGACCACCGAAGCGCCUCGCGUCCCCUAUUCUUGUGGAUGAUGAUAUAGUCCACCCCCAUUGGAAACUUUGGG